rnacentral:tRNA from 1 species
UGUUCUAUGGCUUAGUUAGUUGAAACGCCGAACUAGAGAUACGGAGUCGUGGGUUCGAAUCCCAUCAAAACAA